rnacentral:rRNA from 1 species
CCUACGGGUGGCAGCAGUGGGGAAUAUUGGGCAAUGGGCGCAAGCCUGACCCAGCAACGCCGCGUGAAGGAAGAAGGCUUUCUGGUUGUAAACUUCUUUUAUCAGGGACGAAGCCCGUGACGGUCCCUGAUUCAUACACCACGUCUACCUACGUGCCAGCAGCCGCGGUAAUACGUCGGUGGCAAGCGUUCUCCGGAUGUACUGGGUGUAAAGGGCGUGUAGGCGGGAGUGCAAGUCAGAUGUGAAAACUAUGGGCUCAACCGAGAGCCUGCAUUUGAAACUGUACUUCUUGAGUGCGGGAGAGGCAAGCGGAAUUCCGGGUGUAGCGGUGAAAUGCGUAGAUAUACGGAGGAACACCAGUGGCGAAGGCGGAUUGCUGGACAGUAACUGACGCUGAGGCGCGAAAGCGUGGGGAGCAAACAGGAUUAGAUACCCCAGUAGUC